AUUGAACGCUGGCGGCAGGCCUAACACAUGCAAGUCGAAUGGUAACAGGAAACAGCUUGCUGUUUCGCUGACGAGUGGCGGACGGGUGAGUAAUGUCUGGGAAACUGCCUGAUGGAGGGGGAUAACUACUGGAAACGGUAGCUAAUACCGCAUAACGUCGCAAGACCAAAGAGGGGACCUUCGGGCCUCUUGCCAUCAGAUGUGCCCAGAUGGGAUUAGCUAGUAGGUGGGGUAACGGCUCACCUAGGCGACGAUCCCUAGCUGGUCUGAGAGGAUGACCAGCCACACUGGAACUGAGACACGGUCCAGACUCCUACGGGAGGCAGCAGUGGGGAAUAUUGCACAAUGGGCGCAAGCCUGAUGCAGCCAUGCCGCGUGUAUGAAGAAGGCCUUCGGGUUGUAAAGUACUUUCAGCGGGGAGGAAGGGAGUAAAGUUAAUACCUUUGCUCAUUGACGUUACCCGCAGAAGAAGCACCGGCUAACUCCGUG
rnacentral:rRNA from 1 species